rnacentral:rRNA from 1 species
UAAUACAGAGGGGGCAAGCGUUAUUCGGAAUUAUUGGGCGUAAAGGGCGCGUAGGCGGUUUCUUAAGUCGGAUGUGCAAUCCCCGGGCUCAACCUGGGAACUGCAUCCGAGACUGGGAGGCUAGAGUGCUGGAGAGGGUGGUGGAAUUCCUCGUGUAGCGGUGAAAUGCGUAGAGAUGAGGAGGAACACCAGUGGCGAAGGCGGCCACCUGGACAGUAACUGACGCUGAGGCGCGAAAGCGUGGGUAGCAAACAGG